rnacentral:rRNA from 1 species
UGCCAGCAGCCGCGGUAAUACGGAGGGUGCGAGCGUUAAUCGGAAUCACUGGGCGUAAAGCGCUCGUAGGUGGCUUUGUAAGUCGGAUGUGAAAUCCCUGAGCUUAACUUAGGAAUUGCAUUCGAUACUGGGAAGCUAGAGUAUGGGAGAGGAUGGUAGAAUUCCAGGUGUAGCGGUGAAAUGCGUAGAGAUCUGGAGGAAUACCGAUGGCGAAGGCAGCCAUCUGGCCUAAUACUGACGCUGAGGUACGAAAGCAUGGGGAGCAAACAGGAUUAGAUA